GAUGAACGCUGGCGGCGUGCCUAAUACAUGCGAGUCGAGCGAACAGACGAGGAGCUUGCUCCUCUGACGUUAGCGGCGGACGGGUGAGUAACACGUGGAUAACCUACCUAUAAGACUGGGAUAACUUCGGGAAACCGGAGCUAAUACCGGAUAAUAUAUUGAACCGCAUGGUUCAAUAGUGAAAGACGGUUUUGCUGUCACUUAUAGAUGGAUCCGCGCCGCAUUAGCUAGUUGGUAAGGUAACGGGUUACCAAGGCAACGAUGCGUAGCCGACCUGAGAGGGUGAUCGGCCACACUGGAACUGAGACACGGUCCAGACUCCUACGGGAGGCAGCAGUAGGGAAUCUUCCGCAAUGGGCGAAAGCCUGACGGAGCAACGCCGCGUGAGUGAUGAAGGUCUUCGGAUCGUAAAACUCUGUUAUUAGGGAAGAACAAAUGUGUAAGUAACUAUGCACGUCUUGACGGUACCUAAUCAGAAAGCCACGGCUAACUACGUG
rnacentral:rRNA from 1 species